UGGCAGAUGAUUGUUUUCUAAUGGAAGAGUCUGAGUGAAUGAAUAAUGUGUGUCUUUAUAAAGAAAUUGAUUGGACUUGGAUUUUGAAUAUUAUGUUGAUAAAAUCUUUUAUCUAGUAAUUUAGUAUCUACCAAAUAUUAACAUAUUUACUCAACUUUUAUGAAUAUUUGAUAGAUAUUUUUCUAUUGAAAUUUUCAAUAUUUUUUGCAGCAAAAUAUUUUUCAAUAUUACAUUUCAACCCUUCCCUCUUCCCUAAAAUUGCAUUUUAGUCC
rnacentral:lncRNA from 1 species